AUGAACGCUGGCGGCGUGCCUAAUACAUGCAAGUCGCGCGAACGGACGAGAAGCUUGCUUCUCUGAUGUUAGCGGCGGACGGGUGAGUAACACGUGGAUAACCUACCUAUAAGACUGGGAUAACUUCGGGAAACCGGAGCUAAUACCGGAUAAUAUUUUGAACCGCAUGGUUCAAAAGUGAAAGACGGUCUUGCUGUCACUUAUAGAUGGAUCCGCGCUGCAUUAGCUAGUUGGUAAGGUAACGGCUUACCAAGGCAACGAUGCAUAGCCGACCUGAGAGGGACGGAGCCCCCCGUGAACCAAAGACCGCGCCAGACCCCCACCGGGGGGCGCCGGGGGGAAUCCUGCCGAAAAGGGCAAAGACGGGAGGAAGCACCGCGGGGGGAAGAAGAAGGGUCCAGGAAUGUAAAACCUUUGUAAAAGGGGAGAAACAUAGAUUAAGGAAGCUGGGCACUCCUGGGCGUGCCCUAAUAAAAGAGCCAGGGCAAACUAGGGC
rnacentral:rRNA from 1 species